UGAGCCUCGGCUUCCUGGCUGGCUCUGAUUGGAUGAGAUUCGUCCGGGAGAGACGGGCUCUGUGAGCCCUCAAAGGCGCGUGCGUAAAUUUUGGACCGCGAUGACUAAGAUGUCAGUGCUGGCCAAAGGGGGCGCCGAGAAGCUGAAGGAAAGAAGACGCAGAAUGUUAGAUUAAAGGAGGCAGGAUGGGCUAAAUACUCCUAUACAGUCCACGCAAAGAGGGGUUGGACGAGCUCGGAGAGAAAGAAAAUGAUAUAUGUCAGAAACUCAGAUAUCCGUAAAGAAAGAAAGCAUUGGGAAAAGAAUAAAUGAAGGCCUGUGGGAGCUGAGGCUGGAAGGACCUUGUAUGUCAUGCUGAGAAGUCUGGACUACAUGUCUUCAACUGAAGGUUUUCGAGGAGAGGGAUGUGAUUGGAUAUGUGUUGUAGAAAGAUAACUUUGCUUUUUAAGAAAACAACUUUAUUGAGGUAUAGUUGAUAUAUAAUAAACUACACAUACAAUUGCUGAGUUUGGACAUAUGCACAUACCUGUAAAACUAUCAACACAAUCAAGGUAAUAGACAUAAGAAAGAUAACUUUGAUUACGAGUUUGAGAAAAGAUCGGAAGAAUAAGACGCUAGAGACAGACUAGUUACGACACUUAGAACCUAUUGAAAUAAGAACUAAUUUAAGGACUUUAUGAGUAUUGGCAGUAGAAAUGGAAGGGUGAAGACAAGUUCAAGACAUUUUCUGGGUAGAAAU
rnacentral:lncRNA from 1 species